CAGGAUUGAUGUAAAUCAGGGGUGCCCAAAAGGCAGAUCCCAGAUGUUUUACAAAUACAGCUUCCAUGAUGCUUUGUCAUUCUGAAAGGCAUGCAAAGCAUCAUGGGAGUUGUGGCUCUACAAAAUCUGGGGAUUAACAUUUUGGGCACCCCUGAUGUAAAUGAACUGCAGAGGCAUAGAUCCAGGUAAUGGAGCCACCAAAAUGGAGUGCAUCAGGUAAGGAUAUCUUAAAGGGAUACU